GACGAACGCUGGCGGCGUGCUUAACACAUGCAAGUCGAACGGAAAGGCCCUGCUUUUGUGGGGUGCUCGAGUGGCGAACGGGUGAGUCACACGUGAGUAACCUGCCAUUGACUUUGGGAUAACUUCAGGUAACUGGGGCUCAUCACGGAUAGGAGCUCCUGCUGCAUGGUGAGGGUUGAAAAGUUUCGGCGGUUGGGGAUGGACUCGCGGAUUAUCAGGUUGUUGGUGAGGUAGUGGCUUACCAAGGCUUUGACGGGUAGCCGGCCUGAGAGGGUGACCGGCCACAUGGGGACAGAGAUACGGCCCAGACUCCUGCGGGAGACAGCAGAGUGGAAGAAUGCACGAUGGGCGGAAGCCGGAUGCAGCAACGCCGCGUGCUGGAUUGCGGCCUUCGGGUAUUAAGCCGCUUUCGCCUGUGACGAAGCGUGAGUGACGGUAAUGGGUAAAGAAGCACCGGCUAACUACGUG
rnacentral:rRNA from 1 species